rnacentral:rRNA from 1 species
CGUUCCCGGCCUUGUACACACCGCCCGUCACGUCACGAAAGUCGGCAACACCCGAAGCCGGUGGCCCAACCCUUGUGGAGGGAGCCGUCGAAGGUGGGGCUGGCGAUUGGGACG